rnacentral:rRNA from 1 species
AAAGGUGCAAUUGCAUCACUACCAGAUGGACCUGCGUUGUAUUAGCUAGUUGGUGGGGUAACGGCUCACCAAGGCAACGAUACAUAGCCGACCUGAGAGGGUGAUCGGCCACACUGGGACUGAGACACGGCCCAGACUCCUACGGGAGGCAGCAGUAGGGAAUCUUCGGCAAUGGACGGAAGUCUGACCGAGCAACGCGGCGUGAGUGAAGAAGGUUUUCGGAUCGUAAAGCUCUGUUGUAAGAGAAGAACGAGUGUGAGAGUGGAAAGUUCACACUGUGACGGUAUCUUACC